rnacentral:lncRNA from 1 species
CACCUACCUUCAUCGUAGUUAUAGCCUCGAACAUUCCGAUGCCGGGCCAUGCGCCAUCUUGGCUUCCCGCAGGCCUCUGCGCCGAGCGCCUGCGCAAGCGCGACGUCUUAGCUGUGCACCGCGCGACGGCAAUGCAAGCGGGGAACCUUGAGCUACCUACGCCAGCGUUCUGGAUUAUUUUCCAAAUUUGGUUCCUGAUAAUCUGAGAAAGCUAUGCGCUCAGUAAGAGCAGGGACCUUGUUUUAUCAAACUUUGAUCUUUCAUUAAGCACACAGUGGGCAUUCAACAAACUUGUGUAAACUUGGAAUCAGAUUUAGCCCAGGCCGGUGCGGUGGCUCCUUCCUGUAAUCCCAGCACUUUGGGAAGCCUAGGAGGGCGGAUCGCUUGAACUCAGGUGUUCGAGACCAGCCUGAGCAACAUAGCGAGGCUCCGUCUCUACAAAAAAUACAAACACUAGCCGGCCCUGUGGUGCAGACCUGUAGUCCCAGCUACUGAAGAGGCUGAGGUGGGAGGAUCCCCUGAGCCCAGGCGGUCGAGGCUGCAGUGAGCUGAGAUCGGGCCUCUCCAUUCCAGCCCGGGCGACAAAGAAUCCAGCUAAGUAAAAAUUGGCAAGAUCCUGUGACAAGAUCCUGUGACAAGAUCCUGUGAUCAAGACAAAGUUUUGCCCCCAAAGGACUUGAGGCUAUCUGGGAAUUCCAUGUUUGACAGAAGCGCUGACAGCAUAACCAAGCAAACAAGAAGGUAUUCAGGGACGCUGAAACGGAUCUUCAAAGAAGACUCAGUGGGUGAUUUUUAAUUUCUGUGUAGUAUUAUAGAGCUUAAUGCAGAACAUACCAAAACCUUGGAGAGGUAAUGAUAGGGUCAUGCAUUUCAUAAGGCAGAGUAAUGCCCUGCAACAACAAAAUAAAGUCAAAGAGUUCUAC